rnacentral:rRNA from 1 species
GACGAACGCUGGCGGUGUGCUUCACACAUGCAAGUCGAACGAGGUAGCAAUACCUAGUGGCGGACGGGUGAGUAACGCGUGGGAAUCUGCCCAUAGGUGGGGGAUAACUAGCCGAAAGGUUAGCUAGUACCGCAUAUGCCGAAAGGUAAAGGAGUAAUCCGCCUUUGGAUGAGCCCGCGUCCGAUUAGCUAGUUGGUAGAGUAAAAGCCUACCAAGGCGACGAUCGGUAGCUGGUCUGAGAGGAUGAUCAGCCACAAUGGGACUGAGACACGGCCCAUACUCCUACGGGAGGCAGCAGUGGGGGAAUUUUACGCAAUGGGGGAAACCCUGACGUAGCGACACCGCGUGAAUGAAGAAGCCCUUUGGGGUGUAAAAUUCUGUCGGCUGGGAAGAAAAAAUGACGGUACCAGCAAAGGAAGCAUCGGCUAACUACGUGCCAGCAGCCGC